rnacentral:rRNA from 1 species
CUGGCUCAGGAUGAACGCUAGCGGCAGGCCUAAUACAUGCAAGUCGAACGGUCUUUAGCAAUAGAGAUAGUGGCGCACGGGUGCGUAACGCGUAACCAACCUACCUGAAUCUGGGGGAUAGCCCGCCGAAAGGCGGAUUAAUACCGCAUAAAACGGCAGACCGGCAUCGGUUCACCGUUAAAGAUUUAUUGGAUUCAGAUGGGGUUGCGUGCCAUUAGCUAGUUGGGGAGGUAACGGCUCACCAAGGCGACGAUGGCUAGGGGAGCUGAGAGGCUGGUCCCCCACACGGGCACUGAGAUACGGGCCCGACUCCUACGGGAGGCAGCAGUAGGGAAUAUUGGGCAAUGGCCGAGAGGCUGACCCAGCCAUGCCGCGUGCAGGAUGAAGGCUUUCUGAGUCGUAARCUGCUUUUAUCAGGGAAGAAAAAAGGGCAUGCGUGCUCUACUGACGGUA